AGGGUUUGAUUAUGGCUCAGAGUUAACGCUGGCAUCGUGCAUAACACAUGCAAGUCGAACGGGACUUACUUUGGUAGCAAUACCGAAGUAAGUUUAGUGGCAGACGGGUGAGUAAUACAUAAGGAAUCUACCUCUGAGUGGGGAAUAACAGUCCGAAAGGAUUGCUAAUACCCCAUAACAUGUUUGAGUGGCAUCACUUAAACAUCAAAGAUUUAUCGCUUGGAGAGGAUCUUAUGGUCUAUCAGCUAGUUGGUAGGGUAACGGCCUACCAAGGCGACGACGGAUAGCCGGCCUGAAAGGGCGACCGGCCACAAGGGCACUGAGACACGGGCCCU
rnacentral:rRNA from 1 species